CUCAAACUGCCUCUUUGUUCUCCAGUUUCUUGUUGUGGCUGUGGAUGUUCUAAAGGGCACUUGGCUCCUGCAAUUCAUCAAUGGUCCAGCAUCAGUAUAAUGAAGGGGACCCAGAUGAUAUAAUAGAGGUCCAGCAUCACUUUAAUGAAGAGUCCCAGCUGACAAUACAAGUGAAAGAG